rnacentral:piRNA from 1 species
UCUUGACUAGAGCUGGAAUAAAGGGGG